rnacentral:rRNA from 1 species
CAGAACGUCGUGAGACAGUUCGGUCUCUAUCCUCCGCAGCCGAAGGAACAUUGACGAAGGCUGUCCCUAGUACGAGAGGACCGGGACGGACGUAGCUCUGGUGUGCCAGUUGUCCUGCCAAGGGCAUGGCUGGUUAGCCACCUACGGAAGGGAUAACCGCUGAAAGCAUCUAAGCGGGAAGCCCGUUCGAAGAUAAGUGUUCCCAUGCGGUUAGCGCAGUAAGGCCCGUGGCGAGACCACCACGUUGAUAGGCCGGAAGUGUAAGCGUAGUAAUACGUUCAGCUGACCGGUACUAAUCGGCCGAGGGCUUGGUU